GACGAACGCUGGCGGCGUGCUUAACACAUGCAAGUCGAACGGAAAGGCCCUGCUUAUGUGGGGUGCUCGAGUGGCGAACGGGUGAGUAACACGUGAGUCACCUGCCCUUGACUUCGGGAUAACUUCAGGAAACUGGGGCUAAUACCGGAUAGGAGCUCCUGCUGCAUGGUGGGGGUUGGAAAGUUUCGGCGGAUGGGGAUGGACUCGCGGCUUAUCAGUUUGUUGGUGGGGUAGUGGCUUACCAAGGCUUUGACGGGUAGCCGGCCUGGGAGGGUGACCGGCCACAUUGGGACUGAGAUACGGCCCAGACUCCUUCGGGAGGCAGCAGUGGAGAAUAGUGCACGAUGGGCGGAAGCCUGAUGCAGCAACGCCGCGUGCGGGAUGACGGCCGUCGGGUUGUAAAGCGCUUACGCCUGUUAUGAAGCGUGAGUGACGGUAAUAGGUAAAGAAGCACCGGCUAACUACGUG
rnacentral:rRNA from 1 species